rnacentral:lncRNA from 1 species
CUCCCCACCGCCGGCCCUGCGCCCCCCUCCGCCCUCCGCCCUCCGCCCUCCGCCCUCCGCCCUGCGCCCUGCGCCCUGCGCCCUCCGCCCGGCGCGCAGGCUGGCCCCGCCGCUCGGGGGGACGCCCCCAAGACCUUCGGCUCCCUGAAUCGGUGAGCCCCUCCUCCGCCGCCUCCCAAGCUCGUCUUUCCGCCCGCGGACACCCGAUGUAACACGAUACAGUCCGGGCGUUUCCGGUGAAGCCGUCUCGCGACCCCGUGUGCCUUCGGGAAACUGUCCGCCGCCAGCUGCCUUCCUCAGGCCCUCUUGCCGCCGCCCGGCCUUCGCGGCCGCGGUGCUGACUUUUCUCUCCGUUGGCACGAAAGAGAAGCCCAGCUCCCGCUGAGGGCGCGCGGAGGCGGCCCGGGAGGUACGGCGGACCCGCCGUAGCCACGCCUCCUCGGGCGGGAAAGGGCGGGGCAUGCAGAUUCAGAAUGGCGUUUCCGUCCCAGAACGACGGGGCAACAACAGGUAGGUAAGUUCUCUUUAAAAAUCCGGAGGAUUGAAAAUCUGCACCAGAGCCGACUGUGUGGUGAAUUCUCAGAGGAUUGUCGCAGAAGCAAAGGAAGUGAGACCUGGGCUGAGCGUCCGGCGACUCACCGUGAGUUGAAAGUGCGUGGUAGGAGGCCGGCGGCGGGGAGGCCUGGGCGGGGAGUAUCGCUUCUCGGCCUUUUGGCUAAGAUCAAGUGUAGUAUCUGUUCUUAUCAGUUUAAUAUCUGAUACGUCCUCUAUCCGAGGACAAUAUAUUAAAUGGAUUUUUGGAGCAGGGAGAUGGAAUAGGAGCUUGCUCCGUCCACUCCGCGCAUCGACCUGGUAUUGCAGUACCUCCAGGAACGGUGCACCCCCACGGGGGAAUAACAGGGUUUUAAAAGAAAGAUUGUGAGCGUUUCCGUUUUUCUAUUCUGCGAGAGACGUAAGCGUACGCCACGGCUGUGUUUUUGCUUUCUUGUUGUGCGUAUGGAACGACGGAAGAAAUUUGUUUUUAGAGACUUACCGAGGCUCGAGCUCUGUGUGUGUGUGUGUGGGUAGUCCCGCAGCUUAAUUGUGCACUUUGUUUUGUGCUGCUGUUCGGCGGUCUUCACGAACAGCGCCAUACUGAGCGAGGCUCAGUGCAGUGCUUUGUCGGCUCAGCGCAAAACCUAAGGGAUGUCACUUCCUCCUGCCUUAGACCUUGGUCUUCUCUGCCCUUUUCCUUCACCUCUCCCCGAAUGCUGAAAUCCUGCAUUUUCUGCAAGAAUUUCUUCUCUCUUCUGUCUCCAUGCUCUUCCUGUACUCGUUAAAAUGCUGCGGGCAGGGUUUUGACGGGGUUCAAGACAGGCUGCCCCAGGACGUGGCGCUCUGGUAUCCGAGCUGAAGACGGACAAAGGCUCGGAAGACUCAGGAAGAACAUUUGACCUUCCCCCCAAGCUGCUUAAAAGAAUUUAACGGAGAAGGCUGUUGAUGAACAUAAUCCGUAACCAAUCUGUAAAUGACAAUGUGGGGAUUACCUAGGGGUGGAGAGUGGAAAGGCACAGAGGGUCCGGGUGGAAGCUUUCCACUCGAGAAGAGAGUGGGACAUACACCUCUACUACCAAGGCAUCCGCCGCGAGCUCAGGUUCCCGGAUGAAGAGCGUAAAUUAGGGUUCAUCCAUUCCAGGAAUAUUUGUUGAGUGACGACUGUGUGCUAAGACCGGGGAACGGGGCCAUAGGCGUGACAAAGACAGACCCCUGCUCUGAGAAAGUUUCUAGUCUCCGAGAGAAAGAAAACAGAACAGUCAGUCAUCCUGGAUCCACAAUCAUUUCCUAAUCUGGAAUCCCUGAAAACCAUUUCUUCUCACGAGUUGCCCACGCUCGUUUGUCGGCAAAAGAUCCCCUCAAGGGAGGCAAGGCGUCGGUUUCUGUGUAUCCUGCCCAAUGAUAGAAAGAGAGCCUAGAAGUUGAUGAGAAGCAGCUGAACGCCCCAUCGAAAAGGGGCAAAAAAUAGACGGAUGAUAGAUCGUCGGAUAAGUUUGGCGUUGGGGAAGGCCAUCUAACUGUGACUCAAAAUCCAGAAGCCCAACUUUUAGGAAAGAUUGAUGUACUUGAGUUACAGAAAACCUAAAUUCUCUGCAGAACACAAAACAUCAUACGCGAAGCAAAAGACAAAUGAAAAACUGAGGAAAAAAUCGCCAAUAGAUCACAGAAAAGCAUAAUCACCAAUGAUAUGAGGAGAUCCUAGAAACUGACGAGAAACAGCUGAACACCCAGCAGGAAACGGGCAAAGAUCGAGAGGUGACAGGGGAAAAGAAACACGGGUAUACGCUGGCAUCUCUUCCCCCGGGCUGACCUUACCUCUCCGCGCCCCUGUCUGUCCUCUCCAGUCUGUGGCGCCCGCGCAUCCCGCAGACGAUCCGUAGGAGUAUCGAUCCGCUCCCUCCGUGGCAUCCUGUACGUGACCAAAAGUGAGGCCAUUUCGUUACGCUGAGUGGCCCCCGCCCCUCCGCUGGGUGACUAGUCGCUGCUCUGCACGUACUCUCAAAACGGCCCCGUGCUCUCCCGGUGGAUGGGCUCCGCUUACUAUGGACUCCCGCAUAGCUCGAUAAAUUAAAACUUUGUUCUGUGAGUUUCUCUCCAGGAACAGGCUGACCACAGGUCACACCUACACAGUAUCCAUCACAGCUGACAGGAAAAUGGAACAGUGUCGUGCCUGCAUCCCGUCACGGCCAUUUCUGAACCCCCUCCUUACUGCUCAUUUCCCCUGUGUAACU